CUAUGGCGAAAAAGUUUGCCAUGGCGGGAGGAG
rnacentral:ncRNA from 1 species